AUUUGCUGGUACCUUUGGAUACAUAGCUCCAGGUACGUGCAUUGGUUCUAUUAUCACACACAAGCAUUAAGGGCCCACUUUAUUUCAUACUAGCUAAAUGUUUGCUCUAUGCACAAAUAUAAUAGAAAUUAAUUUUUUUAUAUACCUAAUUUAAAUUUUAUAAAUUUCCAACAAAAUUGCAUUUUUUUUACACUUUUGGCAAUUUGUUUUCUAAGAAAAAACAAAUUAGUUAACAUAUAAAAUUAAAAUAUAUCAUCCCUUAUAAAAAUAAAUAAAUGAAAAAAUUU
rnacentral:misc_RNA from 1 species